rnacentral:rRNA from 1 species
GACGAACGCUGGCGGCGUGCUUAACACAUGCAAGUCGAACGGAAAGGCCCUGCUUUUGUGGGGUGCUCGAGUGGCGAACGGGUGAGUAACACGUGAGUAACCUGCCCUUGACUUUGGGAUAACUUCAGGAAACUGGGGCUAAUACCGGAUAGGAGCUCCUGCUGCAUGGUGGGGGUUGGAAAGUUUCGGCGGUUGGGGAUGGACUCGCGGCUUAUCAGCUUGUUGGUGGGGUAGUGGCUUACCAAGGCUUUGACGGGUAGCCGGCCUGAGAGGGUGACCGGCCACAUUGGGACUGGGAUACGGCCCAGACUCCUACGGGAGGCAGCAGUGGGGAAUAUUGCACAAUGGGCGGAAGCCGAAUGCAGAAACGCCGCGGGCGGGAUGACGGCCUUCGGGUUGUAAACCGCUUUGGCCUGUGACGAGGCGUGGGUGACGGUAAUGGGUAAAGAAGAACCGGCUAACUACGU